rnacentral:rRNA from 1 species
GCCUAUGGUCAUACCACCCUGAAAGUUCCUGAUCUCAUAAGCUGAGCACGCUUGGUCCUGAUUAGUAUUUGGAUGGGAGAGAGGAAGCAGCCAUCCCUCCUUCUUGCUUCUUGUGGCAUGCUGGUCAUAGUCU